rnacentral:tRNA from 1 species
CAGGGAGACAACAAAAUGUUUAAUAUUAAUUUUGUCACCUUAGGUCGAUCGGUAUCUCACAUUCUUAAUUUAUUAAGGAUUUUAUUUCCUAAGUUUUUUCUAGGUCACACCCAUCACUUUUCCUGGGCCAUUAGCUCAGGUGGUUAGAGCGCACCCCUGAUAAGGGUGAGGUCCCUGGUUCAAGUCCAGGAUGGCCCAUAUCUCUAUGUUGGGGGUAUAGCUCAGUUGGUAGAGCGCCUGCUUUGCAAGCAGGAUGUCAGCGGUUCGAGUCCGCUUACCUCCACUGAAUCACCACCUCUUCCAUAAUUUAUAGAAGGGAAAUGUUUUGAGUUGUGAUCAAAUUCUGAACGAAUCUAGCCUCUUAAUUAAAUAAUUAAGAUGCUGGACUCAUUGAAUUAUUUUCAUUGUUUUCAGAGAACCUUGACAACUGCAUAGAUUUUUUUUUAAAGACAAUAAGCAUCUUUUAAUGAUGCAGAUUUAUUAUUUGUGCGAAUGCAUUAAUAACAAUUCUAUUAAGCUGAUGCUUCAAUUUUGAAGUUAUU